CAAACAACAAGAAAAAGCUUUUGCUUUUACGCACAUUAACUUGAGGAAAUCACAAUGUGUUUUCUAAUCAGAUGCUUCAACGACAAUUGCUGUAAUGCUACU